UGCAGAGGAUGCAAGCGUUAUCCGGAAUGAUUGGGCGUAAAGCGUGCGCAGGCGGUUCUCCAAGUCCGUUGUGAAAGCCCCGGGCUCAACCUGGGAAUGGCAGUGGAAACUAGGGGACUGGAAUCUGGCAGAGGGGGGUGGAAUGCCGCGUGUAGCAGUGAAAUGCGUAGAUAUCUGGAGGAACACCGAUGGCGAAGGCAGCCUCCUGGGCUAGUACUGACGCUCAUGCACGAAAGCGUGGGGAGCAAACAGG
rnacentral:rRNA from 1 species